CAAGCUCCCGGCCCGGCCCGGGGAGGAGCUCGCGGCUCAUUGCCAGCCGGGGAAGGAGGAGGAGGAGGGAGAUGAUUGACAGCGCGCUUGACUCACCCCGCCGGCCGGGCCCGAGAAAACUUUCAAGAGGAGGGAGCGGGAGGGGGAGGGGAGGCAAAGCCCGCUCGGAGCCUGCGCUGGGCUCUGGGUACGAGGAGGAAAGUUUUUCAAAGCUCCCCUCCCCCCCCCCGACGUGCAUGUGCAACUUGGUUGUGAUUAGAAGGAGGGGGAAGGGCCCGCGCUCCUUUGUGAGUGCUGGAAUUAUGCAAUGGGUGGUGACAUCACUCGCUGCACCCACUUUGGGCUGCUUCCCCCCAGCUCAGCUUGCACUGAACUUUUGCAAAACGGCCCAGGCGAGAGCUGUGUCUUUGCAGCAGGCUCUGCGAGUGCCCAGAUCCCCCGCCCCCCAGGUAGUUUCCCCGCUUUCCUUCUCGUGUGCAGGAAAGAAACGGCAACUUCAGCUGUUUGUAAAGGCAGGCAGGGUGUGCGCGCAAGAGUAGGUGCGUAGUUGUGGUCUGGUCGGGGGUAGCAGAAAAACAAAACAAAACUGAUCUUUGCAGAGACUCAUUUUCCGAAAUUUCUCCCAGCUGUAAUUACCGUGAAACUAAAGAGGAAGGACUGUUCGUGUUUGUUUGCAUGAUAUUGAUUCUGUGAGCUAGGUCGUAACGUUUGCUUUUUUCGAUUGAAGCUUUUUCCUCUCUGCUGGACACCAGUUGCAUGCUUACGUGUUGGAGAUUUUUUUUCCCCAAGGAGAUCUAUUUCAUCAGGAAAACAGGGGCCCAGUUUUUAUCUGCUUAGCUUUUCUUCUGCCUGACCAACACGUUCGCAGAUUUUUAUUUAAGAUGGUGUCUGCGAAGGCGAUCAGAUAGCAAGUGACACUGACAAAAAACAAGAGGCCCUCUCGAUUUCCCCCCUUUGCUCGAUCGAAAGCUGGAGUACUAUUUGGUGUGUUUGCACGGGGUGCGCUUUCUGCAUGAGUACCCGUUGCAUUCUGUGCUCCCCGCCCUUCUCCUCUUUGAAUGGAACAGAUGGUUUUUCAGUCCAUCCAGGUUUCAUUUCACUCUUGUUAUUAAUUUUUUUCUUCUUUUGGCGGGAUGACAAAGGAGCGGGGCACAUGGAUUGAAACAUGACAGACUGACUAAAAAAAACAACCCAUAAACUUGUUUAUCUGCUAUUUGCAUCAGGAAAGCAACACGUUUGCAAAAGCUGAUCAGUUUCCCCUCUGCCCCUCUGAAGUUCUGAAAUGGAAGACUAGACUGAAGUGGAAAUAUUAAACUCUUAAUUUCUUUCCUACAUAUUUCCAUGUGUCCUUUAUCACCUCCUCGUCCUUUUUACAGUAAGUGUCACCCACUCCAGCCCUCAGAUGUUUAUUCCACAACACUUUUAACUCCUCGAUCUGUUAUGAAACAAUGUGUGUGUUUAGUGCAUUUUCCAUUGCAAUAUAAUUAGGUCACCUAAUUAUAAGCACGUUUCUUUAGAAAGGCAAAAUUAGAGUAUGAAUCGGCUGGCUCUCCUCCUCCUGACAAAUUUUAACAGGAAUUUAUUUAAUCAAUGUAAAAUAAAAUAUCAGAGCGCACACAAACUUUAGACUUUACUCCUUAAAGCUUUAAGGGCUGCAGCUGAGCUGUGCGUUGCAUUUCACAACUAUAAAGAAUUAUUUCCAGUUUGGGCUGGCUUGGAUUUGUCUACUUUGAUUUAAAUUGAUUGAAUCCAUUUUUAACAUUGCUGCUGUCUUUGCAUUUUUGGAGGCUGACUGUCUUCAAGUUGAUUCACAUCUCCCACCCCCUUAGUCUUACGGCCUUUUUCCAAUUUUGAUUGAAACCUGGCAGGCUCUGCUAAAGGAAAUAACUCACAUCCAUAUUAAUUUAAAUAAUUAAAAUGUGUUUAGUUCUUAAAGUGGUGUUCGCUAAUUUCUGCCUUUGCUCUCCAUUCUUCCCCCAGUCCCCAAAGGGCACUUUUUAGCAAUUUGAAAUAAUAAAGCUUGGGGGUGUGGGGAGGAGUAAAGUUUCUUAGCAAAUAAUCUGUUCCAGAUUUUAGUACACAAAGAAUUAUGUAUACUGAUAUUGAUGGAAGGAGGGGGGAGUGGUUUCUUUGUAACAAGCUUGUUUCAAGGCUUCUAAUGUGGGGCUCCUUAAAUGUGAAACUUGUUGGGUCAAACCCUGCAGUCCUUACUCGGGCAAAACUUUGACUGAAGUUAGCGGGAGUGAGAGUAUUGCCAGAGGAAGGCCUGUGGGAUUUGGCCCCUUGUUAUUAAUCCAUCCAGACUGAGACUUGAACUAUAAACUCCUUCUUAAAAUGCAUCUCACGAUUGUACUGAAUAUUCUGCUUCCUCACAUAGCCCAGACUUCCAAGGAGAACUGAAACCCUAACUGCAGAGUCCAGAAUGCAAGCCCAGCUAAGAGCGCAUUUAAAACAAACGAUCCCUGUUCCCACUUCCUCUUCUGUUUGCUUCAGUCUCAGGAACUGGGCUUUAAACUUGUCUUCCUGACUUUCCCCUCCUUCGAUAUCCAAGAACAGCCAAAAUAACGAAUCGAGAGCAAACACCCACAGAGUCUGUCCCUUCCAUAUUUCCUUUUUUAUUCUUUAUUUAAGGAUAGAACCCUAGUUCCACUCAUUUUCCUUCUCUUUCUAGAUACAUUUUUGUUUAGUUUUUUGCCAGAAUUGAAAAGCAACCAGCAGAGAGAGCAGCUUGAACAUGUUAUUUUCUGCAGUUGUUUACUGGCUCUGUGGAUGGUGCUUGUUCCCAGAGCUCUGAGCCUCUCUAUAAUUAAACCUUUUUUAAUUGUUAGGUUGGAAACAUCAUUCCAGGGACUUUCCAAGGGUUACCAAGUCCAAAUGAGGAAGCCAGUACAGAUAACUAUUUCAUGACUGACUUGCUUGGAGCCUGGCUUUUUCAUUGAAUCUGAUCUCCUGUACUCUGAUUACUCAAAGGUCUCAGAACGAGAGUGGAGUCUGUGCCACAGUGGGCACAAUCCUGCAUUCCUUGCACACCCAACCCACGUGGAUUUGAAUGUGAGUUUUGGUUGCACAAGGAAUGCAGGAUUGGACUCUCUGUUACAUGCCCCAUAUCAAUCAACUCACCAAAUUGUAUGUAUGUUAUGUUUAAUAUUGUUGCACAUAUUUUGUGCCUUAUAUUAAAUGUAUGCAAUAGGAUACACAUACACUUACUAUGGGAACUGUAGCUUUCUGUUUCAAAACCUCUUUGCAUUUAGGGUCAAAUGCUGGUCAUACUGCUGUCCAGUGAGAAUUUUGAUGGAAUCUGGAUUUAGGCUGUAAGAGCCUGACUUUCAGCCACGAGAUUUCAAUGCAGAGUACCACAGUUUGAAAAAUUGGAAUUGGACAUGUACUGUCAUAUUGUUUGGGCCAGGUGGCGAAGACUCCAGCACAGGGAAAUUUAAACUGAUCUCUAACUGGUCUCAUAACCAGAGAACACUUUAUUUCAACGUGCUUGCCUCAGAUGGAUCCACAAGAACUACAAGCCUCAGUACAUUGUUAAAAGAUAGAGGAAUAAUCCUUAGUCUUUACUCUGAUUAACUCCCAGUGACUAUAAUGAGUGGUUAGACUAAGGGCCAAGUUUAAACCAAAUAAAGAUUCAGGAUUUGGA